GGAAGGGCCCUCUUUUUCCCCUCCGCUCCUGCUCCAGUGACAAGAUGUGAUCCACUGACAAGGAGGUAUGCCAAUAACGUGUCCGAAGCAUGGACAAAGACGCCCACAAUAUUAGGAACAAAAUAUUCCAAAAAUACAAUUACAAAUAGUCAUACUUCAGAUGGUGAAGUGACUUGUUUCAAGGAAAACAAGAAUACUACAACAAACAUCAGAUGACUCCAGCUUCCUGGAAACUGACAUCAUAAAAUGCUGUGUUUAGACUCCAUUUGCAAUAAUGUAGGACAAUGGCUGUGAUCCUGGCAAAUCAGAGUUUGCUCAGAAACAAACCCAAAGCUAAGAAGACAUGUCUACCCUUUCACUUUGGGAUCAUUUCUUAGCUUCAAGUUCCAAGAACAUCCUUUGUAUGUCUUUGUCUCUUAUCGAAGGAUGAUUGGAAACCAGUUGUGGGAAAUAUUUUCGGUUUAAUAUCACUAAGAAUUGUUUAGGUGUCAAAUUUUUAUUAAUUCAAAGAUCUGAAAUAUAAGAACUGACUCAAAUCUGA
rnacentral:lncRNA from 1 species